UGUGUUGAGCAGGCUAGUGCAUAUAUAACCCAUCUGUAAUCAGCUCCAUUCCAGCAAAUACAAAUUCAUGUAAAAUCCAACACACCUAGCUGGCUACUCAAACAAUUAAUCAAGAAACAAGCACCACCAUCCUCUCUCGAAGCAGCAACCUGUCUGCGAGUAAUUUCUUAGUGCAAGUUCCUUAUUGCAGUCCCACAUAAAUACAAGCAACACUGCAUCUCAAUGGUUUGCUUACACAUUUCAUUAGAGCAAACAUUUUGUUAUACCAUCUAUUCAGUUUGCUACCAAACAAUAAAGUGGUAAAGCAAUUAUUUAUUAAGUGCCAGAUUUAGUAUAAUAUAUCGAUGAUAAAAACAAGUGAAGCCUACUUCUCAAUCGGGGCUAGCAGCAAUCAGAUACAUGGGACUGCAAUAAAGCAGUUUCUUCUUUUGCUACCUGAAACUCAUUUCAUGAAAACAAGUGAAGCCUACUUCUCUCAAUAGGAUAGCUGAUGCAUUGAUAUCGAAAUACUACAUGGUAAUUGGUAACUGUAUUUCAGUUCCUUCUUUUGCUACCUGAAACUCGUUUUAUGAAAACCUGGAAAUACAUUUCAACUCACUUGGUUGUGUCGGCAAGAAGAGAGGAGCAACAGCAGCGGCACCACGCCACUACCCUUGAGUCUCGUCUUGUUUUCAUGUAUGAUCAUAUCCAUGCAAUUGAAACUAUAUCCAUAAAAAUGUUUCUUCUUAACUUCAAAAACCAAUAAUGCAUUACUAAAAUAAUGUGAAUCCCAUAAAAGGCUGGUCUGAUAACAAGUAUUGAACACAAAUGGUACAGUCAACUAACAGAGAACAAUUGCCCAAUCAAGAAAAAAAUAAGCCAUGUUUCAACUAAAAAACAAUGGAUCGAUGACCAUUUUCAGUAUAAGCAACAUGAAAAGACUACAUUCUAGUAAGCACAAUUUUCUUCGCAAAAUUCACAUCUAGCUGUACACUUCAGGUUAGAAAUUUUCUUCCCAAUAAGUAAAAUAGUCAUGUGCCAUAAUCAAUAUUUAUUAGGAAGCUAGUGUGCUGGAGACAUAGGUUGUAAUUAGC
rnacentral:lncRNA from 1 species